rnacentral:misc_RNA from 1 species
AACGCACCUUGCGCUCCUUGGUAUUCCGAGGAGCAUGCCUGUUUGAGUGUCUUGAAAUCAUCAAGCCCCCGGAUUCGCGUCCGGGAGGCUUGGACUUGGGGGUCUUUGCUGCCUUUCGGGGCGGCUCCCCUUAAAUGCAUCGGUUGUGGCCCGUUCGGCUUUCAGUCCUCGGCGUUGUAUUGCCCUCGCCUUGCGUCUUGUCGGCAGCGCCCUUCCCCGACCGCCUCUGGAGUGGCGGUCAGCAACGGAGGCUUUCGGGCCUUUGAAAUCUGACCUCAAAUCAGGUAGGACUACCCGCUGAACUUAA